UGUUACAUUUCUGCAGUGUCUGUCAAUAAUUAUUUCUUUUUAAAUAAAUCAUAACGGACGUGAAUAGAAACUAGUUUUACGUAGUAUCUGUUUUAUAAUAAAUAUACAUAUGAGAUGGAUUAAACGUGUGGGUUUGUUUGAUAAAGAAACGAACGGUAGAAUUUGUAAUAGUCAGUUGUAUUAAAAUCAAUACAAAUACAAGAGAUAGUGUAUGUCAGUUAUAAUCGUCGUUCGCUUAACGCUAUUAUGCCGAUCGAAAAAAUAAUAACAAUAAUAUCCUAGGGAACACGUUUAUACAUCGGCGGACGUUACCACAAAAAGUUAACCUUCUUAUGUAACUCCGGCUGAAGAUUACAAGAAACGGCAAUAACAAUCUGUUCUGAAUUCACUUGCCUUUAGACUUUUUAAACCAAAACAAUCGUUAAUAUUCAAAGGUACAAUAAUAUGAUUCUCUCUCAUUCCAUUUAAACUUUUUUCGAUAUAUAAAAAAUAGCCACUUUUUGUUGUUUGUAUCAAUAUUCGAAAGGCAUCUGUGAUUAAAGUUCGUAUAGAUCGUUUCAUGUUCUUACUAUUGUUCGUAUAUAUUCGUACACUUGUAUAAUAACUUAUAUAAGUAAAAAUAAUUUAUAUAAAUUUAUAGGAAAAUUAGUAGUUGGGUUACGACUCAGCCUUCUUACUACAAUCCAAGUAUCAACUUUACGUGACAGGUGCAUGGAAAAUUGUUUAAAUCAAGAGUGGAGAAAAUCUUUGCGCCUUGUAGCUUCCAUAUUUUACGAUAGUCUACGCAUAAUCGCACUGGAUCAUUUCUCUUUUUAACUACAACUAUCGGACUCGUAUAUUCGGACAAGGAGAGCUGAACGACCCCAUCGCGCAGACACUCAUCCAACUGUUUAUUUACCUUACUCUUAAGAUAAUCGACGUGCUCGAUAAACCAGUUCGUUACGUUUCGCUACAAUCGAUCUUUUGAUUUUACAUUCUUCGGUCAUCAAAGAAGAAAUUGGCAGGUACGCAAAAAAAUACAAGGAAAGAACGGCAACACAUCCAAACCAGCUGAAGCGAGCAAAACCCUCGUACAAAGAAGACUAAAAAGAAAACAUCUCACUAAUCUCACUAAAGAAAUAAAAUAGUCAAACUCGAAGAUGGUAUCCCGCUGGGGAGAGCCAUCCACAUGAUAUUCAGCAAUUGAGUUAGAAAAAUUUACCAAAUGUCCAGCUGGACAAAUUGUAAAGUAUAAAUUAAAUGAUAAUAAUAAUAAUUCUGCGAUCCCUCAAACGAUCGUUUUUAACCGUUGUACACUUAUCAUCGAGGCUAAACUGCCGCUGUUACGAGAUAUUUACAGAGUCUGCAUUCGUCGCGUAAGUUCAACUUCGCGACGCACUAGUUUAAGUUCGCGUUGCAUAGGUUACAUAUCGCGGUUCAUUCCCGCAAUCUUAUUCUCAACGCUAGAAUUGAUUGUAAUUUUAAUAAAUAUUAAAAAAAAAAAAUUCCCGCAAUCUUUAGAAUCGUGCACUCCCAUCAUAUUUUAGUGUAUAUAUUAUACAACAUUGUACAAUGUACAAUAUUUGUUUCAGAGGGGAUACGUUUUUCGUAACUCGUACUCGCGUUAUCAACCUCGCUGCGACUUCGAUACUUAAGCGACAUAAUCCGUGCAAAUGAAAUGCGUCACUAUCCGUGUAAAUUAUAUUUCUCAUAUCUGGAAUAUUUAGAUUUCUGUUUCUUAAAACGUAUGAAUUCCUUAAUUAUUACAAACGUAAUAUAUUUUUAUACAGACGUUAAUUCUUUUUUUUGUUUUAAUUUUUCCAUCGAGACAACGAUCUACAGUGAGAUCCGUUAUAACGAGAUGUAAUAAAGUGCACGCGUACCGAGCGAAAAUUCAAUGUCGAUUUUCUCGGAAACAAAGCCUCAAACGAAAAAUUGUUAUUCUAUAUUUUCGACUUCUUUUUUCACGUAGAAUCACCCCCUUUCCGCUUGUACCACCAGUUACCAACCACCCUGUAUAAGACUAUUAUUUCGAUUUUGAUUGUUAUUUAGUUACGAUCGUAGAUAUAAUGUUAAUGGAUAUACGCGAUCCUAGAUUCUACAAUAUUAGUUUCAUGAAAUCUUAGAGCUGAAUCACCGAUAUUCGGCGUACCUGUGGCAUCUCCAAAUGUGGCAAAGGUCAGCUAAAGAUGAGACGCUGUGGGCGUCUAAUAUUGAAUUUUAAUACAUCACUGACAACGAAUAUCCCGGUAAAUCUAUGUCGCAUCGAUUUAGUAGAACACUUAUUUUCCAGCUUGGUAAAAAAAUUCGAAACGAGCGAACAACGUUCCAACAUAUAAAAAUAUUUCAUGCGUCUUAUAUAAUAUUUCUUUUACAUAAUAACGUUCAAAAAUUACCAUCGAUAAUUCAUUUACUUUAAUAACGAAUAUUCAAAUGCUUCUGCUAUCUAAAUUUAAUGCAACUGGGAAAAAGGAAUGGAAUAAUUAUUUAUCAGAUAUACGAAUCGAACGAUCUUUCGAAAGAAUUGCGAAAGGUUAAAAGACGAAAGAAGUAAAAGAAAAAGCUAUCAAAUACUGUUUACAUUUUCGACGACAACGAACUCGAAAUAGCAAAGUCAACCUGUUUUUAUUAAAAAACCAUUGUCGAUUAAAGAGCUGCUCGUUCAUUCGUUUUUGCGGUCAACGUGUGUUUUCUCGCGUUUCACAGCACUUCGUUCUUUUCCACGUAGCAUAAAAUCUGCGCAUGCGUGAAAAAUAGAUGAACGGUAUCUAGCAAUAAGUGUAAUUCACGUCAUAUUUUAUGUCAAGAACAUAUGACUGUAACAAAUCUCACGUUAUUGAAGACUACGAAACCUUUCUAAUUUUCGUAACGAAACGUCCAAACCAUGUCACAUCAAUUUAAUUGUUAUUCGAUAGAAAUAUAUUUUUUUUUUAUUUAUUUACAUUUUACAAUUUGUCCAGUAGGACAUUUGGUAAAAUAUUAUAGCUUAGUGGUAUAAUAAUAUAAUAUGUGGAUGGCUAUCCCCAGUGGAAUACCAUCUUCGAAUUUGAUUGAUUUAUUUCUUUAAUGUGAAAUGUGACACUAAAGGCCUAAUUUUUUAACGAUCCAACUAUCAAACACAAAACGCUCGAAGGUAAUUGCAACGACCACCAAAGAUAUUUGCAUCUUUUCUUACCGUCCAACGAAGCGUUCCCUUAGGUUCCAUACGUUUCGUUUGGACAGCGGCAAAUUUUUGUCAUCAUACAUGAAGCUAUAUAUUAUUAAAUGAUACGAAAUUAAAUAUGUUUGGAAUUGCAAAAGACGAGUUACGAGAAAUGUAAUCUAAGACCAGAUAAAAAGUAGAAAUAAACCUUAGAAGAGCAAACGAGUAUAGUAAAAUAUUAACGAUGGAUUUGAUAUAUAUACAGGGUGGUUGGUAACUGGUGGUACAAGCGGAAAGGGGGUGAUUCUACGCGAAAAAGGAAGUCGAAAAUAUAGAAUAAAAAUUUUUUUUAAUUUUUUUUUUUUUU